GGGGUUGUGGCUCAGAGGUAGAGCACUUGCCUAGCAUGCAUGAGGCACGGGGUUCGAUCCUCAGCACCA
rnacentral:tRNA from 1 species